GAUAGCAGGAUAUCACAUGGUCAUUGGUAUAUUUUAUUUUAUUUCUCCAGGUGUGUUUUUAAUUAUGUUGGCCAAUGAGACAGGCACCAUACUGUCCAACGCAAAGAUAGGAUAUAGGCAUUUGACCCUGUGAUUCUUCAGGACAAGAUCUUGAUGCCAUCCAUACUCGGUACAUGACGAAGCUCCCGCGUCCAUUUGGGCUGAAGGUCGAGACAGAACCAAACCAAAGCUGGACUGUAACCUACUGGCCACAGGACAGACUUGUUUACAUUUUGAUGAUCUCCUUCUGUCUACAUGAAGUUCUAUUGCUGAAUUCCCUAUUAUUUGUUGUUGGAAACGAUGCAAGUCCCGUUCAUUGUUCUCGUAAAUGUUAGGAUAUACAUUUAUGCCAUUUCCUGAGUGUUGAGUUGCGUUGACUUGACUGGAGUGGUUUUAACAUGCACUGGAUGGAGAUCUCUCUCCUCUUUUUAGCACCUUAGUCACUGAUUGUGUCCCUCCUAACUGUAAAGCCGUGUUAUUCGUUUCUUUUAGUCUCUUCUGCUGUCGUCGUGCUCUUUCUCUUACGUGCAUCUCUUAGCUCGGUUAAUUUCCUGUGCUCAUUUCUUCACUCACUCAAACCCGUUUGCUGCUGAUGUUUGGAACUUCACUGCAGUUGUUGCUGAAUGAAGGAAAAGAUGGAUUCUGGUGGAGAGGAGGCAUCUGGAGUUUGACCGAAUGGGGUGAGCCGAGUGGGCCCCCCCUUCAUCUUCGGCUCAAUGCCCUCCUGAAGGCACAGUUCCCUGGUAUAUGAGCAGAACGAACAUACUUGAAGAGCUAGAAAUGCUCAAAGACUCUCAGUGCUUCUGUACUGUUUCUUAUAGUGACGAUGAAAUAGUCCUUUUUUUUUUUCUUUUCUUUUUUUUAAAUGAAAUUAAUAAACAUGCUGUUUUACAAUUGCAAUGUGGCGUAAUUGAAUAUUUGUGCUUCUAUACAGCUGUAAUGCACCCAGAGUACAGAAAUGUGCUUUCACUUUUCAGAUUUUAUCAUGCAUUUGGUUAUGAUUUUUGCAUAAGCAAACCAUUUCAUUUUAGCUAAAAUGUCUUGAUUAUAUAUGUGCAUUUUCUCACUAGGAAAAUGCACAUAUAGAAAGGUGCAGACAGAAAGGUAUAGACGUCCGGUUUCCUGUAAGUAUGCGUUUUUUGUUAAAAUUAUUCAUAUUAACACUUCUGUUAUUGUGCAGUAAGCAGUGUCAUCUUUUUUAAACAUUUUAUCUUGGGGUUUAGACAUAAUAUUUCUUAAUGUUAUUUUAUA